rnacentral:lncRNA from 7 species
AUUUUGUGAGAUGCAAUUGCUCAGGGCUGUGCGUAGUUGCUGUAGGGUUUUUUUAAAAGAAGAAAAAAAUUAGUUUUUACUAUAUUUCAGCUUCUUGCCUAAUUCAGAGUUAGAGUAGGGUUGACUAGAAAAGGGCUUGCUGGGUUGACUAGAAAAGUUUACGGACAGAGUACCUGAGAAAAAUGUAAUCCAGACAGGGAGUUGAAUAUUGCUUUUCUGCUUCUACCACAGAAAAACAUAUACCUAUCAGUGAAAAUAGAAUUUUUUCCAACAGUGUUUUGAUUUUUCAAGAAUUGCAUACUUGCAUAUGAGCAACGGGAGAGAAAGUUACAAUUAGAGUACUGGUGUAAUUAUUCAUGCAGACAAUUGUAAAGAAUGUGGCUGUUUCUUGUCUUUUUGAGAUUGUUCUAGAUGUUUCCAGAAGUAGCAAAGACCCUAGGGACAUUGUUCUGUGGCAGAAUGGGGUGGGGCUAUGCUCCUAGGGCAGCUGCAUUUAAUUCAAUGGGGUAAACAUUUACCUGUGGAGUUGCAGUUCUACCAGUUACUCUCUAUUGUCUGCAAAUACCUUUGGAAAAGUUCUUACAUUGUUGGAGUUGGCUUUUGUGUAACACGUUGGAAGAUAAGCUAAUGCAGAAGGCACUGGAUUUUUUCCUCUUAGAAGUAGGCAUGACAGCAGCUACAUUCAGACAGGGCUCAAUAACGGCUCCCCGUCAGCUGCAAAGUGCCCAUCUAAACCUUUUUCCUUCAUUACUUCUCUGAUGUGUACUGUAUGUCAUUCCUUGGACAAAUUUACAGCUGAAGAAUCUGUGCCAAAGGCAAUACAACUUAACGUGCGGGGAAGUGUUUUCUAUUCAAUAAGUUGUGCUUGAACAUUGCUACAGCAGGGUUGCUUUACUUUUCAAGUCCUUUAGAUAACUUGGGCUUCUUUCUACAAAUUUUAACUGUAUUUCUCUGGGGGUUUUUAAGCGUGGUUUUGGACAAUCUUUUGUUACUAAGAAAUUUUGUUCUGUGCACGGUCCUCUUGAGAUUAUGACAAAUUUAACACUGAGAUUAAAAAUCAAAUACUUUUUCGAGUUAUGCCUGAUGAUACAUAUUUUAAUCACUGUUUAUGUAAAAAUGUUCUUCUGUAUGGAUCUUUGCUCACUGAUUCCCAAUAGCUUAUUGCAAGAUUUUCCGUGAAUGCGUAUUUUGUAGGACCGCAGUAAUAGGUGUUUGUCUCAUGGCCUGUUACAACAAUUUGUAUUGUAAAAUGUUUUGUGGCUCAAACUGAGGUCAGACCCUGCUGCAUUAGUCAUUUUAUGCAUACCGUAUGAAGCACUUUCUCUCUUCCCUGCUUUAGAAUUUGUGGAGCUGCGAAUCCAUAGCUAUCAUGCUAGCUCCAAACACCUCACUUGCCUGUGGAGAGACUAUAUUAGGCAGACCAAACAAGGAAGCAAAAAUCCCAACCUCAAAGGAAUGCAUAAUUAUUUUAUGUUCCAAAUUCACCCUGAUUAGCAGUAGUGUUGUUAAGAACCUCUGUUUGAAAAAGAUAGAAUAAGUGAUUUCAGAAGGCUACUUUCACGUUUCUUCCCAGUGACUUUACCAUUGUCCAAGCAUUGAAAUUGUAUCUGAAGUUGGAAAAACUAUAAGAAAAAAUAAAUAAUGUUAUUUCAGUGCCAUAAAUGGCUCCCCAAGGGAUUAAAGCACACAAACACAACUACAGGAAAUGCAAAUAUUAGAACCAGGGCUCACCACUCAUUUAUAAAUGAAAAUAAAUCAGUU